AUGGGGAUGCAACAGUCGACGAUGACUGCGUCCGGCGACGGCGCCAAGAGGGCCCUCCGCCGGCUGCCGCACGUGUACAGCAAGGUGCUCGAGCUGCCGCUCCCGGCGGACGCCGACGUCAGGGCGUUCGAGGGCACCACCGCGCUCCACUUCUUCGCGGCCUGCGGCCCCAUGGGCGAGGUGAGGGCGCGCCUCGUCAGGAUUUACCCCGGGGUCGUCAAGGUGGUGGUGGUGCACGUUGGGACCGGAGACGACGAGUAUGGCGACGACAUGGAGCUUGAUAGGUGGAGGUACCGGCUGCCUGAAGACUGUUGCCCGGAGCUGGCUAUGGCCGGGUACGUCGACGGGCAGCUUAUCGUGACGGUGCCCAAGGGCCGCGGCGAGGGCGGCGACGGGGCUCGGAGGUGCUGCAGUGGAGCAGCGGGGGAGAUUGGUGGGAAUCUCGUGGCCGUGCAAUAG
rnacentral:rRNA from 1 species